GACGAACGCUGGCGGCGUGCUUAACACAUGCAAGUCGAACGGAAAGGCCCUGCUUGCAGGGUACUCGAGUGGCGAACGGGUGAGUAACACGUGGGUGAUCUGCCCUGCACUUCGGGAUAAGCCUGGGAAACUGGGUCUAAUACCGGAUAGGAGCCAUUUUUAGUGUGAUGGUUGGAAAGUUUUUUCGGUGUAGGAUGAGCUCGCGGCCUAUCAGCUUGUUGGUGGGGUAAUGGCCUACCAAGGCGGCGACGCGUAGCCGGCCUGAGAGGGUGGACGGCCACAUUGGGACUGAGAUACGGCCCAGACUCCUACGGGAGGCAGCAGUGGGGAAUAUUGCACAAUGGGCGCAAGCCUGAUGCAGCGACGCCGCGUGGGGGAUGACGGCCUUCGGGUUGUAAACUCCUUUCGCUAGGGACGAAGCUUUUUGUGACGGUACCUAGAUAAGAAGCACCGGCUAACUACGUG
rnacentral:rRNA from 1 species